CUCAGUACGUGUAUCUGCAGUGAACACACACAGCAGCGGAGUUAGGAACGUGCUGCUAACACUUCUACCACAGAGUUAUACUUCAAAAAAUUUACUGUUUACAUUAUUAGCUGGUAUCAGCGCAAGUGAAAUGUUUUGCCCCAAAAUAAUCAUCACUAAGCUUUUUCACAUAGGAAGAUGAUCAUAUUUUAAACUUAAAACUCAACAUCCAGGACUCUUCCCGUCUGAAUGCACGGCCCCAGCUUUCGUUGACAUCUACAUGGUCUCUAGACAGAACACUGAAAUGUUGAAGUUUUCUAACAGUACCUGUGGAACAAGCCAGGUUCGUAUUCCAAGUACCAGCCAACUUCACACACUCAGGCUACCAUGUUGUGUAGUUACCUUGGAGUGCCUCCUGUGUCCCAGUCAAGUGGUUCGGGCUGGUUUGCAUCUAUUCCGUUGAAGACUUGGGGCUUUUCAAGAUGAACAGGUCCACCCAUCACAGCCACCACACAAACCACACAGACCAACAAACCCUGGUGGGUGGGAACGUAUCCCUUUCUGUAACCAGGACAGCCAGCACCGUGUACAGAACCGCCAGACAAUCCUGAUCACGAGCCUGUGUGAACAGAUGGGAUUCAUCCUGUAAUACCAGCACCAUCAGAAGGUGGCAGUCUGCAGGGGCAAUGACCAUUACAGCCCUGCAGAGUUUAGCCUUUCCUGAUUACUGACCGCUGGGCAAUCUCUUCAGUUUGUCCAAGUCCACCAUCAGCUUAAUGAUAAGCAAGAAAUAGAAUAACAUCAUACGGCGGGUCCUUUCAUUAUGUGUAGCAUCCAUGAGGUCAUGGGAAGGGCCAUCCUAUACAGAUUCCUAAACUAUGAAGAGGCAGAAGUGGGAUUUAAGGGAAGAUAUAGAUGUGAUACCAACUCCAGAUAAGGUCUGAUGCAAUGAAUCAUGCACUGGUGUGCUUUGGUCAAUUUUGAAUUUCUACUUGGGAAAAGAUGGAAACUGGGAAGAUUUUAAAGGGGAAGAGAAAGAAUGGCAAGGGGGUUUUGUUCGAUUAUUUGCUUGUUUCUUUCAUCAGAGAAAGAAAAAAGACUGAACAAACUGAGUUUCUUAAAGAAGUCUCAAGAAGAUAUGUUAUCAGUCUUCAAAUAUGUAAAAGACUGCUAUGAAGUGAAAGGGACUGGUCAAUCUGUCCAUCAGGUCUCUGCUAUGUUGGUGAGAAGCAGUGAGCUCAAACUGCCUGAUACUACUUUAGUAUUUGUAUGUAUUAGACUACUUUCCAAUAGCAGUGAAAAUGAAAAACUGUUGUAGCCUGCCUAAGAACAGAACGAAGUCACCUCCAUUCGCUUUAAGAACAACAACACACCAUCUACCAGAGGUGGUACCAGUAGAAGCAGAUCCGCUCAGGGCAAGGCAGUGGGCCAGCGACCUACUCAGAUAAAUUCCAACUCCUUGAACUGAAAUGUCUUACACAGUUGAGGCCUACUUUGUUAUCACACACAACCUACUUUCAUGAUUAGCUUUUGCAGUUUGAUGGCACCAGUCAGCUUUAUGGAAAUCUUGAAGUGGAACGCUAGUAUCUGUGUGAUUAUUAAUACUUUCAUAAUGAUAUUUUGCCUAUCACUGCUGGUUGAUUUGUUCAUUCCUUCCUCGUGCACCCCUGUGCUUGUUCUGCCAUGUAUAUGAAAUAAAAUCACAUGAAAAUUUGUAAAA